GUGAAUGUUCAGCAUGAGAACAAGCUACGUACCAAGGUAUUUGACGGUGAUAACUGGAUCAGUGGAAUUGCCAUGAUGGUCAUGGAUAAGAAGUGAUUGAAAGUUUUUCUGCCAUUUAGGCUGAUCAUGAGAUCUGAGUGGAUAUGGAGGCAUUUGAUGAGCAUAUGGAGAAACUGAUGGAAGCAAGGGUUCCUUAGCAAAGGCAUCUGAACACAGUCUGUAUAAUUCCUUCAUCGAAAAACCACAAGCAACAAAGCAGUCAAGUAGGCUGGAAGCUGUUUAAACUCAAUGCAAAAACAGACUGAUGACCUCAGUAAAUAAAAAUAUAAUGUCAUUGCCUAA